rnacentral:rRNA from 1 species
ACUGCUCAGUAACACGUGGACAACCUGCCCUUAGGACGGGGAUAAACCCGGGAAACUGGGUAUAAUACCCGAUAGGUCUCGAUUGCUGGAAUGCAUCGAGAUUUAAAGCUCCGGCGCCUAAGGAUGGGUCUGCGGCCUAUCAGGUAGUAGUGGGUGUAGCGUACCUACUAGCCUACGACGGGUACGGGUUGUGAGAGCAGGAGCCCGGAGAUGGAUUCUGAGACACGAAUCCAGGCCCUACGGGGUGCAGCAGGCGCGAAAACUUUACAAUGCUGGCAACAGCGAUAAGGGAACCUCGAGUGCCAGGUUACAAAUCUGGCUGUCGAGAUGCCUAAAAAGCAUUUCAUAGCAAGGGCCGGGCAAGACCGGUGCCAGCCGCCGCGGUAACACCGGCGGCUCGAGUGGUAACCGUUAUUAUUGGGUCUAAAGGGUCUGUAGCCGGCCGGAUAAGUCUCUUGAGAAAUCUGGCAGCUUAACUGUCAGGCUUUCAGGAGAUACUGUCUGGCUCGAGGCCGGGAGAGGUGAGAGGUACUUCAGGGGUAGGGGUGAAAUCUUGUAAUCCUUGAAGGACCACCAGUGGCGAAGGCGUCUCACCAGAACGGACCUGACGGCAAGGGACGAAAGCUAGGGGCACGAACCGGAUUAGAUACCCGGGUAGUCCUAGCCGUAAACGAUAUUCGCUAGGUGUCGGCCACGGUGCGACCGUUGUCGGUGCCGUAGGGAAGCCGUGAAGCGAGCCACCUGGGAAGUACGGCCGCAAGGCUGAAACUUAAAGGAAUUGGCGGGGGAGCACCACAACGGGUGGAGCUUGCGGUUUAAUUGGAUUCAACGCCGGAAAUCUUACCGGGACCGACAGCAAUAUGAAGGCCAGGCUGAAGACUUUGCCGGAUUAGCUGAGAGGUGGUGCAUGGCCGUCGUCAGUUCGUACUGUGAAGCAUCCUGUUAAGUCAGGCAACGAGCGAGACCCGUACC